AUACGUAGGGUGCGAGCGUUGUCCGGAAUUACUGGGCGUAAAGAGCUCGUAGGUGGUUUGUCGCGUCGUCUGUGAAAUUCCGGGGCUUAACUCCGGGCGUGCAGGCGAUAUGGGCAUAACUUGAGUACUGUAGGGGAGACUGGAAUUCCUGGUGUAGCGGUGAAAUGCGCAGAUAUCAGGAGGAACACCGGUGGCGAAGGCGGGUCUCUGGGCAGUAACUGACGCUGAGGAGCGAAAGCAUGGGUAGCGAACAGGAUUAGAUACCCUGGUAGUCCAUGCCGUAAACGGUGGGCGCUAGGUGUAGGGGUCUUCCACGACUUCUGUGCCGUAGCUAACGCAUUAAGCGCCCCGCCUGGGGAGUACGGCCGCAAGGCUAAAACUCAAAUGAAUUGACGGGG
rnacentral:rRNA from 1 species